CCCCUCCCUCUUCCCUCCAUCCCUCGUCCGCCGCCACGCUCCCUCCCCCCUCCUCCCCCCUCCCCUCCCAUCUGCCUCUCUGACCCGCGGGACCCGGGCCUGGAUCCGCUCGCCGACGCGCCGCAGGACCCGCACGGCCUCACCACCCGUCGCCGCCGUCGGGGCUGCCGCACGCGCCACCAGCUCGCCUCCUCCCCACCAAUCCCUCGUCCUCGCCACCAACCCUAGCCAUUCAUCCCUGCCACCUCUCCUUCCCCACAUCCAUACUCUCCAUCCGUUGUCGCCGCCAUACCGCCACCCCUAUCUCCCCUCCUCAUGCAUCCUCUCUCCUCGUAACAUCUAGUCGGACGAGAAUGCGACGACGGCGAUGGUGGCAUCUCCCGGCGACGACAGUGGGGUGGGCGAGGUUGCAAGGCGACGACCCGAGGCAGCGAUGCAGGAGAAGCUCGGGGGCCUCAUGGGUUGGGGAGAUGGCUUGGGGUCCUCAUGGAUUGGCGAGAUGGAGGCCACCCGAGUUUCUUCGAUCGAUCUGCGAUCUGGUCAGGGCCACGGCAGCGCGGGCGAGGGUCACAGGCGAGCGACCCUCUGCAGCCUGUUGUAGCUCUAUUGCUACACAUAUAUGGGCAAGAAAUGCAAGUAUUGUGGUUCUGAUGAUGUCUGAGUGUAUCUUGUGUAUGUGCAGAUAAGAAGCCCUGAUCAGAAGUGCUUUAUAGAUGUCCUGUAAGCUUUCUAGACAUACAUGUUGUUUCCAGUCUCUCUCGGCUUCCCCAGUCCUGAAGGUAAUAAUAUGAUUCUUUAUAUUGUUUGCCCAAAUUAAGAAGUGAACUUUUGCUCUGUAUUUACUCGUUGUGUGUCCUGUAAACUCGAAGCUUUCUAGGCGUACAUGUGCAUGUGUAUUUAUGAGUUACUAAUUGAUAUGAAUUCUGAAUGCUGUUUGCCCAAAUUCAGAAUUGAACUUUUGUUGUAUAUCUGCUUGCUGCAUGUCCUAUAAUCUCUAAGCUUUCUAGACGUGCAUGCACACGUGUAUUUGUUAGGUAAUAAUAUAAUUUCUGUAUGUUGUUUGCCAAAAUUCAGAACUAAGCUUUUUCUAUAUAUUUGCUCGCUGAUGUGGGAUGUGCUGUAAACUGUAAGCUUCUAGGUCGUACAUGUACACGUGUAUUUGUAAAACUCACAACAUUAUGACUUCACAAACCAUUUAAACAAACGGUAUGCAUAUAAAAAAUAUAGACAAGAGGUAAAAUUGAUAAUCCUUAUGCAUGCUCUGAAUUAUAGCGACAGCUGGUCUAUAAUACAAUAUAAUGCGUGGAACAACUUCACGGGACAAAGAAGCCUAAGGUUGUACUCAUGGAGGAGGUUGACAGUAUAUACGGUGGUGGAAUGUGACAAAUGUGACGGAUAAUACUUAGGUUGUAUCUCAAAGGUUCUGUAGUGGGAGCAUUUCAUUGUACAUAAUGCUUCAUGGGAUAUGUAAUUUUUUAUUCCCAUGGUCUCUUCUUGAUCUAAUUUUAACCAUCAAUCUGAUAUUUUAUUUGCACAAAUGAUGAAUUUUCCUGCAGUGUGGAGAGCCUAUAUGUUGAUGACCAACUGCCUUAGAUUUGCUUGUGAGCAAUUCAUAUAUCAUGAGCUACCAUUUUGUUUUCUUCUAGAUCAAGAUUGAUUAACUUGCAUUUAAGUACCAUUUUGGGGAUUUUGUCGAUAAUGUUAUUCAUCAUGAGUGUUUCAAUUUCAAUAGUCCUCACAUGAACAUGCUGAUUUUAAAUUUCGCAAAAUAAAGCGGGUCUAACAGUUUACUUCUUUCUGACGUAAUGAGGCUGCUAUUGCCUGUUGAUAUUUCACGACUGCUAUCGCCUGCUGAUAUUUAACAUUAAUGAUGAGCUUGACACAAGCUUUUGGGUCGAUUACUUUCUGCCUUCUUUUACAAACAUCAUUAUUAUUUUUUAAUUUUUUGCUUCCUUUUUUUGUCAAGUUGUCAUAUGUGGUAUUGUUUGUCAAGCAUUGAUAUUUUUUUCACGUACAAUUCAUUCUUUUUGCUCACUUACUUGGAUGUUCAAAAAUAUGAUAAAUGUGGGACCUUGGUGCUAGAUGAGACAAUGACAUGUACUACAGAAAGGAAAAGUAAGCUCCCGUUAUCAUUGACUUGCACUAUUUAUCCUAAAUACAUAUAGUUAAUUCCAUUUCUGUUUAUAUGUUGGUUAGUUGCACUAUAUGAUAUAGCUAGCUAUGUAUUUUCUUUAUAAAGUAGGUGUAAAUAAGCUAUGGCAAGCUAUGUAGUUUUCUUUAUAAAGUAGGUGUAAAUAAGCUAUCGCAAGCUAUCUUCCUAGCUUCCUUUUGAUGUAAAUUGAUGCUUUUAGUCUAUCAUGCUUCUAUUAUAGGCUUGAUAUGCCUGAGCUAGUUAUGUAUAAUGACACCAUCUAAGUAUCUCCUUGCAUUGGUAUGCCUAAACCAUAAUGUUAUCAGGGUCGAUAAAACAUGACAUCUAACUUUAAUGGUUUUAAUGCUUGGUUUUGCUUUGGCUAUUUGCACCAGUUGUACAAGAAGUCUCUGUUUUUAUUCCACAUACCCAAGGACAAUAUAUUUUUGUUCAACUACAAUAUUUCAAAUGGAAAAACACAAACUUUUUUUUGAAUGGUAACUAAUUAGACCCGACCAUGAGUGAGCCAAGGGAUUGUUGGAUGGCAGAAUCCCCCCUUGCAUAGGUACACGCUCCCUCGCUGCCUUUCCCAGUUUCACUCGCUGCCAGAGCGAGAACACUAUGUUUUUGUGGGGUUUGUUCUGGAAACAGAGACAACAUAUCUCGAUGCGAAAUGGUUCAACCCUCAGGUUUUAAUGUUGUAUGUUUAGCCAUUAUUAGGUAUAUGAAAAAGUAUUUCGCUACCACCGUGCUUCUAUUCUGCAUGUUAUUUUUGUCAUAGGAUGCAUGCCACAUCAUUAGUACUCCUUCCGUUCCUAAAUAUUUGUCUUUUUAGAGAUUCAACUACGGACUACAUAUUCAACUACGGACUACAUACGGAGCAAAAUGAGUGAACUUACACUCUAAAUUAUAUCUAUAUACAUCUGUAUGUAGUCCAUAGUGAAAUCUUUAGAAAGACAAAUAUUUAGGAACAUAAGGAGUAUUAAGUAUGAGGUAGGGGUUUUAGGCCUUUAGGUAGAUCUCAAGGUCUCAUUGAGAUUUAUAGAUCGUAGUACCAGCACAUGGGAGGGUCUGAUUGUUGGUAGCAACCAGUGAGAGAGAGAAAACAUUUAAUAGAGAUGCCCGUGUAAUCGUAUUAAUGUGACCAUGUUUAUGUAUAUGAGUUCCAUUUUUUUCGUAAAUUUGUCGGUUUGCAAUUUAUCUUUUGCCGAGGCAAAAGAAACGAUCUGUGUGGGAGAACUAAUGUAUUCUAGGGUGAUGUCUUAAUUGCAGGUAAAAAAAGAUUUUGAAUGUAUAUGACGAAAUGAAGGCCAACAAUAUCGAAACCUGGUCUACAAGAACCAAACAAACCUACAAUGAAGAGUUGUUUAGACGAUGAAAUCAUGUUCAAUAUUGAUGGAACAUGUAGUGAUGGCUCUACCUAAUAUCACCAGCCUUCAUGUCUUCCCUGUUGACAUCAGAUACAAGACUCAGCUAGGAGUUAAGAGACCAACUCUAUCUAUACAAUGCAUCACUACUAAAAUAGCUUGCUUUAUAAAGCCAAUGUAGGCUAUCAAGUGAUUUCAUAGCUUUCUUUUGAGCUAUCAUGCUACCAUGUAAUGAAAUAUAUAACGCGGUGUGCCUAGGUAUCUAUUAAAUUGGCUUUAAAUCACUCUCAUUUUCAUGGCCUGAAUGCUCGG
rnacentral:lncRNA from 1 species